GUGAAGUCAUUGAUGCCAUGCUUCCAGGAAAAGCCUCUAAGCUUCAGAUUGUAAGGAAUCGUACCCCAAACCGACACAGGUGGUCGGGUAGAGAAUACCAAGGCGCUUGAGAGAACUCGGGUGAAGGAACUAGGCAAAAUGGUACCGUAACUUCGGGAGAAGGUACGCUCUUGACGGUGAAGUCCCUUGCGGAUGGAGCUAUUGAGAGUCGCAGAUACCAGGUGGCUGCAACUGUUUAUUAAAAACACAGCACUGUGCAAAAUCGUAAGAUGACGUAUACGGUGUGACGCCUGCCCGGUGCCGGAAGGUUAAUUGAUGGGGUUAGUGCUUGCACGAAGCUCUUGAUCGAAGCCCCGGUAAACGGCGGCCGUAACUAUAACGGUCCUAAGGUAGCGAAAUUCCUUGUCGGGUAAGUUCCGACCUGCACGAAUGGCGUAAUGAUGGCCACGCUGUCUCCACCCGAGACUCAGUGAAAUUGAAAUCGCUGUGAAGAUGCAGUGUACCCGCGGCUAGACGGAAAGACCCCGUGAACCUUUACUACAGCUUGGCACUGAACAUUGACCCUACAUGUGUAGGAUAGGUGGGAGGCUUUGAACCCGGUACGCCAGUAUCGGUGGAGCCGUCCUUGAAAUACCACCCUUGUAGUGUUGAUGUUCUAACGUUGACCCCUUAUCGGGGUUGCGGACAGUGCCUGGUGGGUAGUUUGACUGGGGCGGUCUCCUCCCAAAGAGUAACGGAGGAGCACGAAGGUGGGCUAAUCACGGUUGGACAUCGUGAGGUUAGUGCAAUGGCAUAAGCCCGCUUGACUGCGAGAAUGACAAUUCGAGCAGGUGCGAAAGCAGGUCAUAGUGAUCCGGUGGUUCUGAAUGGAAGGGCCAUCGCUCAACGGAUAAAAGGUACUCCGGGGAUAACAGGCUGAUACCGCCCAAGAGUUCAUAUCGACGGCGGUGUUUGGCACCUCGAUGUCGGCUCAUCACAUCCUGGGGCUGAAGUCGGUCCCAAGGGUAUGGCUGUUCGCCAUUUAAAGUGGUACGCGAGCUGGGUUUAGAACGUCGUGAGACAGUUCGGUCCCUAUCUGCCGUGGGCGUUGGAAGAUUGAAGGGGGCUGCUCCUAGUACGAGAGGACCGGAGUGGACGAACCUCUGGUGUUCGGGUUGUGUCGCCAGACGCAUUGCCCGGUAGCUAAGUUCGGAAUCGAUAACCGCUGAAAGCAUCUAAGCGGGAAGCGAGCCCUGAGAUGAGUCUUCCCUGACCCCUUGAGGGUCCUAAAGGGUUGUUCGAGACUAGAACGUUGAUAGGCAGGGUGUGUAAGUGCUG
rnacentral:rRNA from 1 species